AAAAUUUCCUUGUCUUAAGUUAUCAAACGCCCAAAGAAAAAGAUGGUGUGAGAUCCCAUUUGGAGAGAGGAAUAAAGCAUUAUUUAGUUUUAAAAUCUUAAGGGAAAGCUCGGAAAGGAAAAACCCAAAGAUGACAAUAUCUGUCAGCAGUGGGCUUGGACUGUUACAAGUAUGAAAGCCAGACACCGGGUGGACACCAAGCGGUGUGCCAGUGAGGACAUUGGGCACCGAUGGGGGUGGAUUGCAAGAUCCUAUAUCGAUUGGAGAGGGGAACAAAACGUUCUUUAUAAGGGUGUGAAAACCUCUCCCUAGCAGACGUAUUUUAAAACCUUUCAGAAAAUAAAAUUCAAAGAUAACACUAUCUAAUGUGGCAAUGGGGCGAAAGUUUCUUCUUAUCAAGGUUACUAGCUAUUUUUAUGCUAGCUGUAAAAUGUCGUACGAUGCGA